rnacentral:rRNA from 1 species
GACGAACGCUGGCGGCGUGCUUAACACAUGCAAGUCGAACGGAAAGGCCCUGCUUUUGUGGGGUGCUCGAGUGGCGAACGGGUGAGUAACACGUGAGUAACCUGCCCUUGACUUUGGGAUAACUUCAGGAAACUGGGGCUAAUACCGGAUAGGAGCUCCUGCUGCAUGGUGGGGGUUGGAAAGUUUCGGCGGUUGGGGAUGGACUCGCGGCUUAUCAGCUUGUUGGUGGGGUAGUGGCUUACCAAGGCUUUGACGGGUAGCCGGCCUGAGAGGGUGACCGGCCACAUUGGUACUGGGAUACGGCCCAGACUCCUACGGGAGGCAGCAGUGGGGAAUAUUGCACAAUGGGCGGAAGCCUGAUGCAGCAACGCCGCGUGCGGGAUGACGGCCUUCGGGUUGUAAACCGCUUUCGCCUGUGACGAAGCGUGAGUGACGGUAAUGGGUAAAGAAGCACCGGCUAACUACGUG